ACUAAGAGCCUUACAUCAGAGCUGUGGAUGCGUGAGUCAGAGAGGAAGUCCAGUAUCAUUUGAACGUAUGGCUCGCUAAGCCACGAGCAGCUCUCUCCAUGGAGGACCAAGACUUCGGGGUACGUAGGCUGUGGAUUUUCAAGUUCUAAGAUUUGUUUUAUUGUUCUGGUUGGUGUCCUUCUCACUGUGAGACAUGAGAGGACAGUGGGGAGGGGGAACGUUCUGUGAGGAAGAAACUGAGGAAACUUCCAAGGAGUCAGGCAGCCUCCGUCUCGAACUGUGUUGCCAGGUCUUUGCGUUCUUUUGCGACUUGAUAUUCAUUAUAUACGAGACAUUGAUUUAAUUAUGCAGAUACUCAUUUUUCUCUAGGGCUCUGAAAAAAAAAAAGAUUUUGUAAGCCAAAAGAAGUUUUUACUGUAAAACUCGAAAGUUUUUCCACCCUCCGUUUAUCUACAAAAUCAUUUUAAAAGAUUUCUACACAUGCUAAGAAUGAAGGCUGGGACUCUGAACUUCAUAUUACAGGCCUCUGGGGACCUGGGGCCUGCAGAGUAACCAUUUAUUGUCUGAUAAUUCGCUGAAAUGGUGUCUUUCUCAGCUUUUUGGUUAACUGGGUAUUCUCUGCAAGAACAAUAUUUUGAAGAGAGUGACGUGUGUUCCAUAUGUAUAUGGUACAUGUGUAUAUAUGUAUUAUGUAUGGUGUGUGUGUGUGUGUGUGUGUGUGUGUGUGUGUGUGUGUGUCCAAGGAAUAAAAUUAAAAGGAAAUAGAAAAGCACAAAGCUCUGAAAGUCAGGCUACAGGAUGCACAGUUGCUGAGACUCCGUAUGUACCGUUUUGACACUAGAACUCUCUCCAUUUGCUGUCUCUGAGCAAGAGUGGGUAGUGUUUGGUAUGGUGACCGGGACUCGGGAAGACAUGUCACUAGAAAUACGUGAAGUUAACAAGCUUCUGCUUGAGUGGGCUUCCACCUUCCUUGGUACAGUGGAACCCCAGAAGUCAGGAAUAAGGGUGACAGGUAAUUAAAAGGGUUAGAGAAACGGUAGGGGAGGUACGCGGUGCUGUGGCUAUGAUUUGGACCAAAUAACCAUUCUGUUGUAUAAGUCUUGCCCUGUGAGAAUGUUCAGGAACCCCAAGGAAAGCUGAGAGGGGAAAGUGACCUGGCCCAUUUUCCUUUUUCAACUUGGUGCAGAUGUGUUCAUCAAAGGCAUCCCAGCAACACAAACCUCCUCUAUUCCUUAUGUUUCCCUGGUCUCAAAAACAAUAGGCCAGAGCAACCCAGUUGGCAGGUAGCGUUCUCAUCUCAGUGCCCAAAGACUGCUUGCUCUCGACUGGUUGCCUUGGCUCUUGAAAAAGGGAAGGUUUAUUUGAAUGCCAGAAUUUGACUGGAAUCUGUGUCAUGGGACUGUGCCCUCUUAAUGCCCCAGAGACCGAGGCUUUAUUUUAGAGAAGGAAGCAAACACAUUGGGGUUUGUACUGGAGGGUGCAAAAGAUGGAUUGCUCAAUGCGGACUGAAAGGAAGGCUAUCAGGCCUGGAACAACCAUCCCUGACCUACCUAAGGCCACUGGCGAAGGUGCUUUAAGAUCUAGAGGCACAGUGAAUGCGGAUCAGCUCGCUGUACAGAGAUGAUUAUGCGCACAACUUAAUCUAAUUUGUUGUAUGUUUUGAAGCAGGGUCUCUUGUAGCCCAGGCUAGCCUCCAGUUGGCUAUGUGCUUGUGGAUGAGCUUGAACUUCUGAUACUCCCAAUACUCCGGAGUGUUGGGGUUAUAGGCGUGUUCUGUCACCCCCCAGUCAGACUAUGCAGUGCUGGAGGAUGCAUCUAGGGAUCUGUGUAUGAGGCACACACACUGUACCAACUAAACCACAAUCCCAGUCCCGUGUCUUGAUCUAAAUAACCUAGUUAAUCCUCUUGUUAAGUCCCGCAGCUGUAGAGGCAUGGGAAUAACACUAAGGCGAUAUGCCAGAGGCUUCCACAGUGCUACACAGAAAAUGAUCUACAAUUAGGGCACCAACCAGCCCUGCCGCCAUGCAGGCUCACAGGCCCUUGCUCCUUGGAAGUUCUGAAAGCCACACUUGGAAUUCAGAGCACAUUAUCACCCAGAAACAAGCCCCGAGCUCAAGUGCAGAAUGCAAAUUUAUCCUAAAAUAGAAUCUUCCAGAAACUUCUGGAAAGGAACAGAAAGAACGAACAUUUGACUAACAGCAUUAGAAAACAAACUUUACAAUGAGCUCUAGUAAUAAUUGUGAGAAUGGUUUUAGUAUUCUUGCCAUUCUUGCUUAGUCUUGAACAUUAUUGCUUUCUUGAUCUGAACCCUAACUCUUUGUCUUAGUAUUUUGCCAUCCU
rnacentral:lncRNA from 1 species